rnacentral:rRNA from 1 species
ACGAACGCUGGCGGCGUGCUUAACACAUGCAAGUCGCACGGAAAGGCCCUGCUUUUGUGGGGUGCUCGAGUGGCGAACGGGUGAGUAACACGUGAGUAACCUGCCCUUGACUUUGGGAUAACUUCAGGAAACUGGGGCUAACACCGGAUAGGAGCUCCUGCUGCAUGGUGGGGGUUGGAAAGUUUCGGCGGUUGGGGAUGGACUCGCGGCUUAUCAGCUUGUUGGUGGGGUAGUGGCUUACCAAGGCUUUGACGGGUAGCCGGCCUGAGAGGGUGACCGGCCACAUUGGGACUGAGAUACGGCCCAGACUCCUACGGGAGGCAGCAGUGGGGAAUAUUGCACAAUGGGCGGAAGCCUGAUGCAGCAACGCCGCGUGCGGGAUGACGGCCUUCGGGUUGUAAACCGCUUUCGCCUGUGACGAAGCGUGAGUGACGGUAAUGGGUAAAGAAGCACCGGCUAACUACGUG